GACGAACGCUGGCGGCGUGCCUAAUACAUGCAAGUCGAACGCAGUGGGGACGGUUGAGUAACACGUGGGUAACCUCCCAUCAGAGGGGAUAACACUUGGAAACAGGUGCUAAACCGAUACUGAUGUAUGGACCCGCGGUGCAUGAGCUAGUUGGUGAGGUAACGGCUCACCAAGGCGACGAGGCAUAGCCGACCUGAGAGGAUGAUCGGCCAAACUGGGACGGAGACACGGCCCAGACUCCUACGGGAGGCAGCAGUAGGGAAUAUUCGACAAUGGACGAAAGUCUGACCGAGCAACGCCGCGUGAGUGAAGAAGGUUUUAGGAUCGUAAAACUCUGUUUUUAGAGAAGCGGUAUCUAACCAGAAAGCCACGGCUAACUACGUGCCAGCAGCCGCGGUAAUUC
rnacentral:rRNA from 1 species